GUCCAGGAUGAAGCUGUCGUAAAAGACAAUGGAGGUCCGAACACACAUCCGUUGAAAAGGGUGGUGAUGAGGUGUGGAUAGGGGAGAAAUUCCAAUCGAACCCGGAGAUAGCUGGUUCUCCUCGAAAUAGCUUUAGGGCUAGCCUCUUAAAAGAGUAACGGAGGUAGAGCACUGAAUAGCCUAGGGGGCGUCAAAGCCUACCGAAGCUUAUCAAACUCCGAAUGCCGUAUACUUGAUUUAAGGGAGUCAGACUGCACGAGAUAAGUUGGGCAGUCAAAAGGGAAAGAGCCCAGACCGCCAGCUAAGGCCCCAAAAUGCAUGUUAAGUGGAAAAGGAUGUGGGAUCUCAAAGACAACUAGGAUGUUGGCUCAGAAGCAGCCAUGCAUUCAAAGAGUGCGUAAUAGCUCACUAGUCGAGAGGUCCUGCGCCGAAAAUGUCCGGGGCUGAAACAUGCUGCCGAAGCUGCGGAACCGCAAGGUUGGUAGAGGAGCAUUGAAUGCGGGACGAAGCUGUACCGAAAGGAGCAGUGGACUGCAUUGAAGAGAGAAUGCCGGAAUGAGUAGCGAGAAAUAGGUGAGAAUCCUAUUGGCCGAAUAUCCAAGGAUUCCAGGGUAAAGCUGAUCUGCCCUGGGUAAGUCGGGGCCUAAGGCGAGGUCGGAAGACGUAGCCGAUGGACAACAGGUGGAGAUUCCUGUACUGCAUAUGGUCAGAACUGUGGGGACACGGGGUGUUAACGGAAGCCGGGAAAGGAAAGACCGGUCCAAGCACAGGAGGCGUUGCGCAGGCAAAUCCGCGCAAUAAGCCAAAGGUGUGACGGGGAGCGAAAUUAUAGUAGCGAAGUCCGGAUACAUGCUGUCAAGAAAAGCCGCUAUUGCGCCAUAUGUACCCGUACCGUAAACCGACACAGGUGGAUGAGGAGAGAAUCCUAAGGCCGGCGGGAGAAGUGUUGUUAAGGAACUCGGCAAAAUGGCCCCGUAACUUCGGGAGAAGGGGCGCCCAGAAAUGGGCCGCAGAGAAAAGACUCAAGCAACUGUUUAGCAAAAACACAGGUCUAUGCGAAACCGAAAGGUGAGGUAUAUGGGCUGACGCCUGCCCGGUGCUGGAAGGUUAAGGGGAGAGGUUAGCCGCAAGGCGAAGCUUUGAACUUAAGCCCCAGUAAACGGCGGCCGUAACUAUAACGGUCCUAUGGUAGCGAAAUUCCUUGUCGGGUAAGUUCCGACCCGCACGAAAGGCGUAAUGAUUUGAGCACUGUCUCGACAACACACCCGGUGAAAUUGAAAUACCAGUGAAGAUGCUGGUUACCUGCGCCAGGACGGAAAGACCCCAUGGAGCUUUACUC
rnacentral:rRNA from 1 species